rnacentral:rRNA from 1 species
UGGGGAAUAUUGCACAAUGGGCGCAAGCCUGAUGCAGCCAUGCCGCGUGUAUGAAGAAGGCCUUCGGGUUGUAAAGUACUUUCAGCGAGGAGGAAGGCGACAAGGUUAAUAACCUUGUCGAUUGACGUUACUCGCAGAAGAAGCACCGGCUAACUCCGUG